rnacentral:tRNA from 1 species
GGAGAGGUGGCCGAGUGGCUAAAGGCGGUAGUCUUGAAAACUACUGAGGGUUAACGCCCUCCGGGGGUUCGAAUCCCUCCCUCUCCGCCA